CAAUUCUUGGCCGGUGGAGGCAUCACCUCGUUCGGCUUGCGCUUUAUACUUUCGACGAGGUGCAUAACUCCAGCCCAGAAACAAUACCUGAAUACAUAGCCUACGUUUAUUGCUCUUUAGUCGCUUUCAUUAUAGCCUAGAGGUAGGCUAAAUCAAGUUAGUAGGCUAUACCGGUGAUUGAUUUUUUAAAGUAUGAAUUUAGCUCAGGAAAACGAAGAUUCCAAAUAGAUUAGUUGUGGUUCCAUUUCAUGUGAAGAUCAUGUUGUCAGUUUAGGUCAAUUUACUUCAUAGCCAUUAUAUCUGGUUUCGUUUGUUUAUAAAUCCGGGUGCAGUUAUAUCUGUUGAAGUGUUGAUCGUGGUUUGGCCAAAAUAGCAUACAGUUAGUUUCCUCACUGGUUGUGCUUAAUGAUAUACUUACACAGACUAUGCUGAGACGGAAAGAGAGUCCACAGCCACCCGUACCUGAAUGGUGGGCAAUCGGACUCGAUGUAGUGAUUAUAUUUCAGGGCUGUCCAUUUCCGUGACUCGCUGCUGUUUUGUGAACGAUUCACAGCAAGGACAGCGACUAAUAAACCGGACAUUGCCACUUUAAAAACUGCCCCGGGCCAUUUGAAAAGCGCAGAGACAGAUGCUGAGUCGAGGCAAGAAGAAAAGAAAACAAAUGAAUUUCGAGGGCAAAAUCGACAGAUAUAUAACGCGCAUAAACUGAAAUAUGUCUGUCCUCUGAGCGUGAGGGCACAUCAGCGUCCUGACUCGCCUAAACAGUUUGUUGGUUGAAAACACACAAUACUCCAUGCAGCUCCGGGAAUGUUCCUGUCUGCAGCCGGCCCUCUCCUCCCCGGCUUCCCAAACUUUGAUCAGCGAGGCCUGGCCGCGGAGCCGCUUGAGCCGUGCAGCAUGGUUUGCUGGCAGAGGAGGAUGGGUAUAAAUGGAGACUGUCACAGGAGAGGAGGGUAAAAACCAGGGUCAUGUUCAGGAGGCAGACAACGUUUUGAAACAGAGUGAAACAGCUAAGGUGUGCCCUCCUUUAACAGGCCCCUACCCC